CACUCUUGUUGCCCAGGCUGGAGUACAAUGGCAUGAUCUCGGCUCACUGAAACCUCUGCCUCCUGGGUUCAUUCAAGCGAUUCUCCUGCCUCAGCCUCCUGAGUAGCUGGGAUUACAGGCAUGCACCACCACGCCCGGCUAAUUUUGUAUUUUUAGUGGAGAUGGGGUUUCUCUAUGUUGGUGAGGCUAGUCUCGAACUCCUGACCUCAGGUGAUCCACCUGCCUUGGCCUCCCAAAGUGCUGGGAUUACAGGCAUGGGCUACUGCGCCUGGCCUGUAUCUCCAAUUCUUUACAUAUGCCUGACGAACUGCUAUUCCAUCUUGUAGGGCUAAAAUCAAAUUUUUUUUCAUUUUUGGGAAGCCUCCUCUACAUACCUCCACCUUCUAACUCCAAGAAGUCAAAAUGAAGUCUCACC
rnacentral:lncRNA from 1 species